rnacentral:rRNA from 1 species
UAAUACAUGCAAGUCGAGCGGACAGAAGGGAGCUUGCUCCCGGAUGUUAGCGGCGGACGGGUGAGUAACACGUGGGUAACCUGCCUGUAAGACUGGGAUAACUCCGGGAAACCGGAGCUAAUACCGGAUAGUUCCUUGAACCGCAUGGUUCAAGGAUGAAAGACGGUUUCGGCUGUCACUUACAGAUGGACCCGCGGCGCAUUAGCUAGUUGGUGGGGUAAUGGCUCACCAAGGCGACGAUGCGUAGCCGUCCUGAGAGGGUGAUCGGCCACACUGGGACUGAGACACGGCCCAGACUCCUACGGGAGGCAGCAGUAGGGAAUCUUCCGCAAUGGACGAAAGUCUGACGGAGCAACGCCGCGUGAGUGAUGAAGGUUUUCGGAUCGUAAAGCUCUGUUGUUAGGGAAGAACAAGUGCGAGAGUAACUGCUCGCACCUUGACGGUACCUAACCAGAAAGCCACGGCUAACUACGUGCCAGCAGCCGCGGUAAUACGUAGGUGGCAAGCGUUGUCCGGAAUUAUUGGGCGUAAAGGGCUCGCAGGCGGUUUCUUAAGUCUGAUGUGAAAGCCCCCGGCUCAACCGGGGAGGGUCAUUGGAAACUGGGAAACUUGAGUGCAGAAGAGGAGAGUGGAAUUCCACGUGUAGCGGUGAAAUGCGUAGAGAUGUGGAGGAACACCAGUGGCGAAGGCGACUCUCUGGUCUGUAACUGACGCUGAGGAGCGAAAGCGUGGGGAGCGAACAGGAUUAGAUACCCUGGUAGUCCACGCCGUAAACGAUGAUUGCUAAGUGUUAGGGGGUUUCCGCCCCUUAGUGCUGCAGCUAACGCAUUAAGCACUCCGCCUGGGGAGUACGGUCGCAAGACUGAAACUCAAAGGAAUUGACGGGGGCCCGCACAAGCGGUGGAGCAUGUGGUUUAAUUCAAAGCAACGCGAAGAACCUUACCAGGUCUUGACAUCCUCUGACAACCCUAGAGAUAGGGCUUUCCCUUCGGGGACAGAGUGACAGGUGGUGCAUGGUUGUCGUCAGCUCGUGUCGUGAGAUGUUGGGUUAAGUCCCGCAACGAGCGCAACCCUUGAUCUUAGUUGCCAGCAUUUAGUUGGGCACUCUAAGGUGACUGCCGGUGACAAACC